AACACCCUUUCCUGCAAUUUCACAGGCCUUGCAAAUAUUCCUGAAGCCAGUGUGAGUCUAAAAAGGUCCAGGGUCAACUUUAUUUUAUUGAAGAUUUAAAUUCUACAGGGUGACUUAUGUUAAGCAAAAAAAAAAAAGCUAGCAAAUAAUUUUUAGGUGAGAUUAAAGGGCCCCUCACGAGGCCUGGCCAAUUUGAGCUGACAAGCGCUCUGCAUACUGUUAGGAAUGGCCGUACGGGGUGGCAACGUGCCAGCUAUUUCAGCCCGCUGCACGUGUUCCAAUCCAGCCAGACGGGGCGCACUUCAGAGAACUGUGGAUAACCGGCAGCCACGUGGCGCGGGGUCAGCUCAGGAAUGUGGUACUCGGCAGUGCCACCCUUGACGGAGCAGAGUUCUACGAAGCCCUCUGACGUCGGCUCCGGACCUUUACACCUGUGUGUGUGUGUGCGGCACUGAAACCUGUGCAACACGUGUUUGUGAGCCCUCCUCCAAAAGGGCGGGUCAUCUACGGUGACGUCGAACGAUGACUGGACGAACGUUUCCGUCCACUGGGAAUCGAGGGGGGAACAAGUGCUUACAAGCAGCGUUUGCCGGCUGCUAGGGUGUGCUUGUCAUCAUGAGCUGAGUGCUCGUUGUUGUGCUCGUCGUUGUGCUCGUUGUAGUGAGCUGUGUGCUCGUUGUCAUGCUAGAAAUGUACUUGUGAGCUGUGUGCUCGAAAGCUGUUUGCUGUAUGUUAGUCUUGCGGGCUCCAUAUGGGAGUCACGCUAGACUGUCGAUGUAUGUCUUGUUUUAAAUGUUAAUAUGAAAAUAAAUCCUGCUCACCUAGCUCCUAGAUCGGCCUAUACGACUCCUAGAUCGGCCUAUACGGCUCCUAGAUCGGCCUACGGCUCCUAGAUCAGCCUAUGGCUCCUAAAUUGGCCUACGACUCGGAGACAGCAACGGCAGCUGACGGACGUUGGCACAUGGUGACUGUCCGGUAUCCUGAUCAAGUUGGAGGCGACUUAGGAUUGACCACCUCUUGCAACUGACUGGGUACGGCGGAGAAGGACUGGUGAUAUGGUGCUGCUUCAGUGGAGAGCAAAGCCAUCAUCUUGCUCGCCAGCCAUUCUCUUCCUGCCCAGCGGUUGCCAGCACUGGCAAGGCGAGAUUUUCCGGGCCAUGGAGGAGCUGUUAGGAAUGGCCGUACGGGGUGGCAACGUGCCAGCUAUUUCAGCCCGCUGCACGUGUUCCAUUCCAGCCAGACGGGGCGCACUUCAGAGAACUGUGGAUAACCGGUAGCCACGUGGCGCGGGGUCAGCUCAGGAAUGUGGUUCUCGGCAGCGCCACCCUUGACGGAGCAGAGUUCUACGAAGCCCUCUGACGUCGGCUCCGGACCUUUACACCUGUGUGUGUGUGUGCGGCACUGAAACCUGUGCAACACGUGUUUGUGAGCCCUCCUCCAAAAGGGUGGGUCAUCUACGGUGACGUUGAACGAUGACUGGAUGAACGUCUCCGUCCACUGGGAAUCAAGGGGGGAACAAGUGCUUAGAAGCAGCGUUUGCCGGCUGCUAGGGUGUGCUUGUCAUCAUGAGCUGAGUGCUCGUUGUUGUGCUCGUCGUAGUGAGCUGUGUGCUCGUUGUCAUGCUAGAAAUGUACUCGUGAACUGUGUGCUCGUAAGCUGUUUGCUGUAUGUUAGUAUUGCGGGCUCCAUAUGGGAGUCACGCUAGACUGUCGAUGUAUGUCUUGUUUUAAAUGUUAAUAUGAAAAUAAAUCCUGCUCACCUAGCUC